rnacentral:rRNA from 1 species
GAUCAUGGCUCAGGAUGAACGCUGGCGGCGUGCUUAACACAUGCAAGUCGAACGAAGAUGCCGGAGUGCUUGCACUUUGGCAGACUGAGUGGCGGACGGGUGAGUAACGCGUGGGUAACCUGCCUUAUACAGGGGGAUAACAGUUGGAAACGACUGCUAAUACCGCAUAAGCGCACGGUAUCGCAUGAUACAGUGUGAAAAACUCCGGUGGUAUAAGAUGGACCCGCGUCUGAUUAGCCAGUUGGCAGGGUAACGGCCUACCAAAGCGACGAUCAGUAGCCGGCCUGAGAGGGUGAACGGCCACAUUGGGACUGAGACACGGCCCAAACUCCUACGGGAGGCAGCAGUGGGGAAUAUUGCACAAUGGGGGAAACCCUGAUGCAGCGACGCCGCGUGAGUGAAGAAGUAUUUCGGUAUGUAAAGCUCUAUCAGCAGGGAAGAAGAAAUGACGGUACCUGACUAAGAAGCCCCGGCUAACUACGUG